UAGUCCACGCCGUAAACGAUGGAUACUAGCUGUCCGGGGCCUUGAGUCCUGGGCGGCCAAGCGAAAGUGAUAAGUAUCCCACCUGGGGAGUACGUUCGCAAGAAUGAAACUCAAAGGAAUUGACGGGGGCCCGCACAAGCGGUGGAGCAUGUGGUUUAAUUCGAUGAUACGCGAGGAACCUUACCAGGGCUUAAAUGCAUAUUGACAGGGCCAGAGAUGGCUUUUCCUUCGGGCAAUUUGCAAGGUGCUGCAUGGUUGUCGUCAGCUCGUGCCGUGAGGUGUCAGGUUAAGUCCUAUAACGAGCGCAACCCCUACGUUAGUUGCCAGCACAUUAUGGUGGGAACUCUAACAAGACUGCCGGUNCAAACCGUGAGGAGGUGGGGAUGACGUCAAAUCAUCACGGGCCCUUACGUCCUGGGGCUACACACGUGCUACAAUGGGUAGGUACAGAGAGCAGCCACUG
rnacentral:rRNA from 1 species